rnacentral:tRNA from 1 species
GGGGGUGGUUGUCAUCCGGUGAUGGCCCCGGUCUUCAAAACCGUUGGUGGGUCGCUUGCGCGGGCCACGGUGGGUUCGACUCCCAUCCAUCCCCG